CAUUCACCAAUAAAACAGUAGAAUACUUGUUGGAUUUGUGCGUUGGGGUCGGGAGCAGACGUGAGAGCGAGUUUGGGCCGUGGAUCUCGAUCCGGCGGUGGGGAGCCCAUUAGUUUCCCCCCCUAAACCCUAGCCGCCCCCUCCCUCUCACUCCCCCACCCCUUUGGCCGCCCCUCCCCUCUCUCUUCCACUCUUGCAGCCGCCCCAAUCCCUCUCCUUCUUCCCCAAGUGAUUGCAGCGCCACCCCUCAACCCUAGCCCCCCCCACCUCUUCCUCUCCAAGGUGGAGCCUCCCCGCUUGGUGUCCGUCGUGUGGGUGCGAGUCUUCCAUGGGAGUUUGGAGGGAGGAAGAAGGAAGAAAAGAAGGAGGAAAGGAGGAACCCAAGGUGAUUUUCGUGAUCAUUUUGUUGUAUUUGUGCUGCAAUCCAAUUGGUUACAUGUUUACCUAUGCGAUUUGGUAGAGGUGCUGUCCAGAAAUUUAGUGGGUGGACGAACAGCAGUAGUUCUAGUGAUUUCUGGGAAUUUUUCGUGGGCAAUUAGUAGGGAUCAGUGGGAGAAUCAUGUAGAGCUUUGUCAUACCUUUCUAACGAGUACUUAUGCGCUCGAUUUGGAGUUAUAAUUUAGGAGAUAUCGUUGUUUGAAUCCGGUUAUGUUGCUGUCCAAAAAAACAGAUUUUUCAGGUGGGUGAACAGCAGUAGUAUUAGUAGUUUCUGUGAAUUUUUUGUGGGUAAUUAGUGUUAACCAGUAUGAUAAUCAUGUAGGGCUUUGUCUUAUCUUUCCAAUAAGUACUUAUGUGCUUGAUUUGGAAUUAUAUUUUAAAAGAUAUCGCUGUUUGAAUCCGGGUAUGUCGCUGUCCAAAAGACAAAAAAACAGAUUACAGGGUUCAUCUUGUGGACUGUUUUGGGCUAAUUAGAUGUUGGAAUUUAAUUAUAAAUUGUAUACAAAACUUGUGGGGAAUUUCAUGUAGAUGCCUCUGGAGUUUUUGUUUGUUACCACUGCUGUCAUAAUUUUAAAGUUAUGAAAUUAUUAAGCAGCGCCGCUGCAGUUUGGUGGGUGUGGGGAGAGAUGUAACCCGCGGCGGGGUUUGAGUUUGUGCAUAGGUGCGGCAUCGUUUAUGAGCCUGAUUAUGUGAAAUUGGUGCACUAAGUUGUGUGUCAAAAACAGGUGGUGGACUUCCGGAUCGUACUUAGGGAUUUGCCCGAACUUCCGGUAAAGGCAAGUAAAUACAGUGGUGGUUGCUACCGUUUGGGUUGCAUCCUAUUCCCUGACAUUGAGUAUGCAUAAGUUUUAAUUAUGUUAAUCAUUGAAUUCUAUGAUGAAGUUUAUUUGUUUGGAAGUAUUAAUUCUCAAUUGUCUAAUAUUGUGGAUGAUCAUAAUUUGGUAAUGAUAUAUGUGGUUGAUUCCCAUCUUGGAUGAAGUUGAAGUAUUUUUUUGAAUCACGUUAUAUGAAGUGUUGUAGGCAUGACAUGCUCAUCGCAUCAUCCAUCUUGCAUUUUGAAGUUAUGUCGUGAUCUUAUGGUCCGACCGUACCGGUACAUUUUUAGCAUCGUACGUUGCCCGAGGAGGGGUACGAUGCGGCUUCAUAUCCUUAGAGGUAUGAAGGCAGAAGUCAUCCUUGCAUUUGCAGACAUUUGCACUCAUGAGGUAUAUAUGAAGUGUGACAUUACUAUGUUACUAUUGUGGUUUCUACCUGCGAGGUGUGGUGACUAGGUGUGUUGUACGUUGUAUACGUGCUGCACCUUCGUAAUAAGAAGGUUGUGGAAUCAAGUGGUGGUAAAAACAAUGUUCUUAGGUGGUUAAACAGUUUGAUAUUAUUUUACUUGCUGAGAUGUGUCAUCUCACUCUUGCAUUACUCAAUGCAGGUACUUGAUACAUGUUGGGAAUGAGGGGAGUAGCAGCACGUCCACUUUCACUCUCACAAUAACGCUGCCCAGGCGUAGCCAUGAUUUAAUUAGAAACUUAUUGUCAAAGGAAGUUUGUUUUUUUAACUAGUCGUGCGCACUAGUUAAUUCACUUCAUGUCGUAUGUUUAACUUCUCUUUGUUAGCCGAUUAAUAAUACUUAGUAUGUUUUUGUCAUGAUAUAUGUUUAUACACUGUUGCCCCCUCAUUUAUGCAAUUUUGCAAGGGGGAUGCUGCCG
rnacentral:lncRNA from 1 species